UACAGAGGGUGCAAGCGUUGUUCGGAAUUACUGGGCGUAAAGGGCGCGUAGGCGGUUUAGUAAGUCAGAUGUGAAAGCCCGGGGCUCAACUCCGGAAUUGCAUUUGAAACUGCUAGGCUAGAGUGCAGUAGAGGAUGGCGGAAUACCCAGUGGAGAGGUGAAAUUCGUAGAGAUUGGGGGGAACACCGGUGGCGAAGGCGGCCAUCUGGGCUGUAACUGACGCUGAGGCGCGAAAGAGUGGGGAGCAAACAGG
rnacentral:rRNA from 1 species